CAUUCUGUUGAGGUGGUGUGAGAGUAGCGUUGUGUGGGCGGCUGGCAAUUCCCCAUAUUUUGAUUCAAUAUACUUUGAAAUGGAUGUCUUAUUGGAGCCGUUUUUCUCAUUCAAAGCUUCAACUGCUGCCAAAAUCAUCUAAAUACAACAGUGUAACUCUUACAGAAAGUAGGACAUAUCCUUAUCAGAAAAAAUCAAGAGCUUGCAUUAACUCUACAUUGACGACUAUUUAAUGGAAACACUUGCAAAAAGAGCAUGAAGGUAACUAGGUUGCAUUAAGAUUCCCAAACCCCUUUUUUCUUGGGCUUGUCAUAAACCAAGCCAGAAAAUUUUGUAAUACACAAACCCUUUUCUACUAGUGCUAAGAAAAUACUAAUUCUGAUUCUGAGCACAAGCAGCUAAAGCUAAAGAAAUUUAAAUGGAUUGAAGCAACCUAUAAUAACGAGAAUGCAAAAUAAGAAUUACAGGAAAAUGAGUUUUUCUUAUAUUUCCCAAAAUUUAUUUAUUUUCUUAUAUAAUCAAAAAAAUUAAGCCCAUAUACAACAGACUUAACACUAAUAAAUAGACGUCAAAAUCAUGUCCAUAACACCCAAACACAAAAAAAAUUUGCAAAUUUGCGCCUGUGCAGGAAAAAAAAAAAUUUAUGAUCCACCCGUGACGAGAAGUUCUGGAAGAACAUAGAUUUUUAAGGAUUACAAAAAAUAAAAGUAAAAACUCUAAUUUUCCAUUUGAGCACCACAAAUUGAACAGCAGUAGCACAAACUAAGGCAACAAAAACCAAAGCCAAAUAAAAAGUAAAAAAUAAUAAUAAUAAUAAUA
rnacentral:misc_RNA from 1 species